AAGCCCCGGCUUACUCCGUGCCAGCAGCCGCGGUAAUACGGAGGGUGCGAGCGUUAAUCGGAAUUACUGGGCGUAAAGCGCAUGCAGGUGGUUUGUUAAUUCAGAUGUGAAAGCCCGGGGCUCAACCUCGGAAUUGCAUUUGAAACUGGCAAACUAGAGUACUGUAGAGGGGGGUAGAAUUUCAGGUGUAGCGGUGAAAUGCGUAGAGAUCUGAAGGAAUACCGGUGGCGAAGGCGGCCCCCUGGACAGAUACUGACACUCAGAUGCGAAAGCGUGGGGAGCAAACAGGAUUAGAUACCCUGGUAGUCCACGCCGUAAACGAUGUCUACUUGGAGGUUGUGGCCUUGAGCCGUGGCUUUCGGAGCUAACGCGUUAAGUAGACCGCCUGGGGAGUACGGUCGCAAGAUUAAAACUCAAAUGAAUUGACGGGGGCCCGCACAAGCGGUGGAGCAUGUGGUUUAAUUCGAUGCAACGCGAAGAACCUUACCUACUCUUGACAUCUACAGAAGCCAGCGGAGACGCAGGUGUGCCUUCGGGAACUGUAAGACAGGUGCUGCAUGGCUGUCGUCAGCUCGUGUUGUGAAAUGUUGGGUUAAGUCCCGCAACGAGCGCAACCCUUAUCCUUGUUUGCCAGCACUUCGGGUGGGAACUCCAGGGAGACUGCCGGUGAUAAACCGGAGGAAGGUGGGGACGACGUCAAGUCAUCAUGGCCCUUACGAGUAGGGCUACACACGUGCUACAAUGGCGCAUACAGAGGGCGGCCAACUUGCGAAAGUGAGCGAAUCCCAAAAAGUGCGUCGUAGUCCGGAUUGGAGUCUGCAACUCGACUCCAUGAAGUCGGAAUCGCUAGUAAUCGUGGAUCAGAAUGCCACGGUGAAUACGUUCCCGGGCCUUGUACACACCGCCCGUCACACCAUGGGAGUGGGCUGCAAAAGAAGUGGGUAGUUUAACCUUCGGGAGGACGCUCACCACUUUGUGGUUCAUGACUGGGGUGAAGUCGUAACAAGGUAACCG
rnacentral:rRNA from 1 species